CCACUGCCUUGCAUACUGACACCACCUCCACCUCUCCCCCCCCCCUACAUCUGUCUUGUUGUUGUCGCCGUCGUCGCAGCGGAGCCUUCUUUCCACCACCAUGCCGCUCGACAAACCCUCUCUCCUGGGCGAGGACGGCGACAGCGACGGGCGGCGGCGGAGAGCCUGGCCCGCCUCGACGCUCUCGCCUCCGCCGGCCCUGAGUCGCUCGUACGCGGCCAGGAGGAGUCUGGCGGCGGCGGCGGUGGGGGGUAGGAAGAUAACGCAUCCCGGCAAGGCUAUCUUAGCAGGUGGGAUUGCGGGCGGAAUCGAGAUUUGUAUCACCUUCCCGACGGAGUACGUCAAGACUCAGCUGCAGCUCGAUGAGCGAGCCAACCCGCCGCGCUACCGGGGCAUCGGUGACUGCGUGAAGCUGACCGUGCAGGAUCACGGACUGCGAGGCCUGUACCGAGGACUCAGCUCGCUGCUCUAUGGCUCCAUCCCCAAGUCGGCAGUCAGAUUUGGCACCUUCGAGAUCCUCAGCAACCCAAUGCGAGAUGCCACGGGCCGACUGGACAACACGCGGAGCCUCCUGUGUGGCUUGGGGGCAGGUAUUACCGAGGCUAUCGUCAUUGUGUGUCCCAUGGAGACGCUCAAGGUGAAAAUGAUUCACGACCAGUGCUCGAUGAGGCCUCGCUAUCGAGGUUUCUUUCACGGCGUCAGCGAGAUCAUCAGAGAACAAGGUGUCCGGGGGACCUAUCAAGGUCUGACGGCGACCGUGCUUAAGCAGGGAACCAAUCAGGCCAUCCGGUUUUACGUGAUGAAUGCGCUACGUAAUUGGUACAAAGGUGACGAUCCCAGAAAGGAAAUGCACCCAAUCGUCACGGCCAUGUUCGGAGCCACGGCGGGGGCCGCCAGCGUCUUCGGCAACACACCUCUUGAUGUGGUCAAGACCAGAAUGCAGGGUCUGGAUGCCCAUCGCUACAAGAACACGGUGGACUGCGCCUUCCAGAUCCUCAAGCAGGAAGGACCGCAAGCGUUCUACAAGGGGACCGUUCCCCGGCUGGGCCGAGUGUGCUUGGAUGUGGCUAUCGUCUUUGUCAUCUACGAGGAGGUGGUCAAGUUGCUCAACAACGUAUGGAAGACCCAAUAGGAGGACCAGUGAGGACUCCCAUAAAACAAGACAGGCAAGGCCUUCCAGAAACCACCGGACAUUUCCACAUGUCAUUUUUGGAACUUGGAGGACUGACUGAUGAAGAGCAAGAAAGGGGGAAAAAAAGGCCAAUUGCUUCAAACAACGAUUGGUUUUGUGAUAAUUAGGUGGAGUUCCAAAAUUGGGUAUUGCGCCAAAAAAAAUGCCAGCACACAGUUGUAACAUCUAACACUUUUUGUCACAUCUUAUCAAUGGUUGGUUUUUGUUUUUUUUUGGGGAAAAGGGCACAAUCUUCCAUUAGCCACAUGCUAAGCCAAUCUGUCUCAUUUGGUGUCACGCUACUCUGAUAGUGUAGCAUGCAAAGCUAAGUAGCAAACCUAGCAUCUCAUACCAGAUUACCUCCAAGUUGAUUCACUCCGCUUUUUGUAAAUGGCAAAACUGUCUUG